rnacentral:rRNA from 1 species
UCCUACGGGGCGCAGCAGUGGGGAAUAUUGCCCAAUGGGGGAAACCCUGAUGCAGCGACGCCGCGUGAGUGAGGAAGUAUUUCGGUAUGUAAAGCUCUAUCCGCAGGGAAGAAAAUGACGGUACCUGACCAAGAAGCCCCGGCUAACUACGUGCCAGCAGCCGCGGUAAUACGUAGGGAGCAAGCGUUAUCCGGAUUUAUUGGGUGUAAAGGGUGCGUAGACGGGAAGGCAAGUUGGUUGUGAAAUCCCUCGGCUUAACUGAGGAACUGCAACCAAACCUAUCUUUCUUGAGUGCUGGAGAGGAA